ensembl:lncRNA
CAAAAACUGUCACCCGAUGCUACAAUUCAACAAGCCCAAGCACAGAUGCAGCCUCACUGAUGAACAUUUUGCAGCAGUACCGCACACUGCUUAAACAGAACCGCACAUUGCUUCAACAGAACUGCACACUUCUUCAACAGAAAUGACUCCUGACUUCACCUUACUUGUCAAUGCCCAUACGAGGCUCUCCUGUUCAUAUUGAUGUGGCCCCCCAGUGAAAAAUACUGCCUACCACUGCCUUGGAAUAUACAAUGUCAGAGACGCAAUGUCAGACCCAAAGCAGACAGGCUCCAGCGUUCGACGUCACCGACCUUCUGACACCACCGUCCAUCUCAUUAUGCAUUUCACCUGUGUCUUGUUUAGCGCACCUGGUUCUCAUCCUCAUCAUUCCCCCCAGUAUAUAUGUUCCCUCUGCUUCCCC